AGAGCAAGAAGUAAGAGCAUUCUCAGUGAGGACAGCCAACACUGUCCACCCCGGCCCUCAGUUGCUGGAGGUCCUCACCUCUUCCCGGCCACAGGAGACCAGGUCACAGGCCCCACAACAACUCUCCUUGAGUGUGAG
rnacentral:lncRNA from 1 species